AUGACCGAUAUUGGAGAUGAUACACCAGACUGGAUGGACGCUUGCUUUGAGCCAGUGUCAGUGCUGCAUGAGAGCCCGUUCAGUAGCAAAAUAGGAUAGAGUCAUGGUCCCACAGAAAGAGAAACUGGCAGGCUCACUGGGGCUGUUUUCCAUCUUUGCAAGGAUUUAAGAGUGAAAAGGUUCUUGGUACGUUGACUUUGGAUCUGGGGCUCUGUAGGACAAGCAGCUCUUGUGUUCGGUAAUGUUCCUUUGCUCUAAUAUAGUGCCAGGAAAGCUGCCUUGGGGAUAAUGAGUUUUCUGUGCACUUUCCUACCUGGGUGUCUUUCCUCCUUUACAGCCAGUCGGAGAGAUGAGCGUGAUACCCUGUUAUGAACUAAGAAGCACUUUCUGACCUAGGACUUUGUGCCUUAUAUGUGCCUGAAGCGAUGCUCAGUUUUUGCACCUUGCUAGGAUCCCAUUUGGCGUGAUACAGUGCUGAAGUACAUUUGUUUUCUUACUUCAUUCACUGAACAUCUGCUACCGUUUAGAAAACACCGCCAAAUAAAAGAAACAUCCCCUCUGCCUGUCCGCCAGCAAUCAGUAUUGAUCUUUUCUCAGCUAGAUAAAAUAGGAAAAAGAUCAAAUCCCCUUACGAUUUACGGUCUGCGCAGUCCUCUGCCAAACCUGGAGGGCAGUCUGUGGUAAGUUACAACCAAAAAAGAAGCAAUGGGUGAGAUCCAUAGCAACUCCCAUGUGGUAAAAUACCACUAAGGAAGAAGUUUGAAAAAGUUAGUGCCUGAGCAGCUUUGCGAAGCCCGCUGAUGCUGUGCAAGGACAGCGUUACUUGAGAGAUGGCAGAGAGAGCCUGCACCACCUCACCCGUCUGAAAAGAGCAUGGUACGGUUGUGCAUUCACUUGGAUGAAAUCAACAUCAGAAGACUGCUUUAAGCCAUCUUGCUGGGAGGCAGAAGGAUUGUUGUUUCCAUGCCCUGUGAGAAGAGGAAUGGGAAGUUCCAGUUCUCAGAAUGUUUCUUCAGUUUUUCUCUUACAAGGAUAUAUUUUCUGUGAAGGGAGUUAUCCAACCAUGUGGUCCUCUGAUAGAAGGGACUGGACGGGACGACUCCAGAAACACCUUCCUGUUUUAUGUUUCCAAAGCAUCUUCUCUUCAGAGAGAGAAAUGGAAAAGGAGAGAGACAAGGUGUUGGGUUACUGGCUUCCUUCGGAAAGCAAGGAUGGUUCUCCUCAACGAAGCUGUCUGAACAAAAGCGCUUUGUUAUGUUGA
rnacentral:lncRNA from 1 species